GCGCUCGCUUCGGCAUCAUAUAUACUAAAUUGGAAGGAUACAGAGAAGAUGAGCAUGGCCCCUGCGCAAGGAUGAUGCGCAAACUCGUGAAGUAUUUCAACUUUUU